rnacentral:rRNA from 1 species
GACGAACGCUGGCGGCGUGCUUAACACAUGCAAGUCGAACGGAAAGGCCCUGCUCUUGCGGGGUGCUUGUGAGGCGCACGGGUGAGUAACACGCGUGUAACAUGCCCUUGACUUUGGGAUAACUCUAGGAAACAGGGGCUAAUACCGGAUAGGAGCUCCUGCUGCACGGUGGGGGAUGGUAAGUUACGGCGGUUGGGGCUGGACUCGCGGCUUAUCCGCUUGAUGGUGGGGUAGUGGCUUACCAAGGCUUUGACGGGUAGCCGGCCUGAGAGGGUGACCGGCGACAUUGGGACUGCGAUACGGCCCAGACUCCUACGGGAGGCAGUAGUGGGGAAUAUUGCACAAUGGGCGGAAGCCUGAUGCAGCAACGCCGCGUGCGGGAUGACGGCCUUCGGGUUGUAAACCGCUUUCGCCUGUGACGAAGCGUGAGUGACGGUAAUGGGUAAAGAAGCACCGGCUAACUACGUG